UUCCUGGUCGUCCAGUGGCUAAGACUCUUUGCUCCCAAUGCAGGAGGCCCAGGUUCGAUUCCUGGUCAGGGGA
rnacentral:tRNA from 1 species